UACGGAGGAUCCAAGCGUUAUCCGGAAUCAUUGGGUUUAAAGGGUCCGUAGGCGGUUUUGUAAGUCAGUGGUGAAAGCCCAUCGCUCAACGGUGGAACGGCCAUUGAUACUGCAAGACUUGAAUUAUUAGGAAGUAACUAGAAUAUGUAGUGUAGCGGUGAAAUGCGUAGAUAUCAUUUGGAACGCCAAUGGUGAAAACAGGUAACUGGGAGUGUGCUGACGCUGAGACACGAAAGCCAGGGGAGCGAACGGG
rnacentral:rRNA from 1 species